rfam:Schistosoma curassoni strain Dakar, Senegal genome assembly, scaffold: SCTD_scaffold0001634
GGCUUUUUGGGUAUGUGCUGAGAUUUCGUCAGACACCAGCCCAUCAGGACUGAUGAGACCCUCAGGAUAAGUGAAGCG